rnacentral:rRNA from 1 species
UACGUAGGGCGCAAGCGUUUAUCCGGAAUUAUUGGGCGUAAAGAGCUCGUAGGCGGUCUGUCGCGUCGGCUGUGAAAACUCGGGGCUUAACCCCGAGCCUGCUUCUGAUACGGGCAGACUAGAGGUAUGCAGGGGAGAACGGAAUUCCUGGUGUAGCGGUGAAAUGCGCAGAUAUCAGGAGGAACACCGGUGGCGAAGGCGGUUCUCUGGGCAUUACCUGACGCUGAGGAGCGAAAGUGUGGGGAGCGAACAGG